UCUUCUUACUAGUGUGAUUGAACUUUCAGACGGGAUAAUUACACAACAAACUGGGUCGGGCUUCUUGGAAGCCCAUUUGCCCUCGUGGUAAACCGCACCCCAAUUCCAAGACCGCCUAAGAAACCGAAAAAAAAAAAAAACACGUCUCAAACCCAAUUCAAAGGGUUGAUGCCUGGGCCACAGAGUGCAGGACAGCAAUGGCAUGGGGCCUCGCAAUUUCUGGCACUUUCCAUUUCGGACCAGUUCACAGCUGAACCGAAGCACUUUCCAUUCUUUCCCAACUUUUUGUUUUGAUGACUUCUGCGAGUCCUUUCCUUCCUUCGCUAUUGUCUUCAAUCCAAACGGUGCCUUAAGAUCUGAGCUCUGUGAAGAAUGAGGCUAUCAGAGAGGUUGGGAUUUCUUCAAGGGUGGUUGCCCCUCUCUGUUUCUUCUUAGCCUAUGAUUUCUGUUUUGCCAUCAGUAAACUAAAAUCCAACAGCCCUUCAUCUUUUCAGCAACAACAUUCAGUUCUGGUCUUUGAACCCGGGUUCGAUACCUCUCACUUAGACAGAAGAAAAAAAAAGGGGUACAUUGAGCGGUUGAAUCCGGAUUGUUCACAAAUCCUUGAAAGCCCAAAUCAUGCAAUGUAAGGCACGCAGUCCUUGAAGCUUCAUCUUACUCACUCAAAAUUCACUCAUAAGCUGAAAAAAUUAGUGCAAUAAAAUACCCAACUCUGUCUAAUAAGCUUCGCACCAUGGCUCCAAGCCUUUGACAGGUAAAGCAUCUCAAAUUUCCCUGAGCUUCUGCUCUCAGAAAAAUGGGAUCGGCAAAACGGCCUAGCACUACUGCUACUACUAUUAUUGAGUUUGCUCACUUUCUCGAUAAGCCCGCUUAUCUGAAGGCUGUGAUGAUGAUUUUAACUUUUUGAGGGGAUCCAUCCAUCUUUCUGGGGUUGGGUCUCUCUCUGUUUUCUAUGUCAAUGUUUUCCUCACGUCACAAUGUCACAUUGCAACCGGUUUUGCAGCCAUGACGGUGUCAUUUUCUCUUUCUGAUGCCUUUAAUUUUUGCCGUAAAUUGGUCUGAAAUGGAACUUGUGAGGCCCCGUUUCCCUUUCUGUCACCAUUGUUCUGUAUUCUCUUGGCUGCAAUGAUGAUUUUUCUUAGUUGUGAUUUGAGCAUGGAGGAAAUCGUGGACCCGUAUCUUGGUGGUGCAGCCCUGAUGGCAUGUGAGAUGAGAAGAAUUUAAAGAUGGGUUCUUUCUUCUCUUUCAUGCAACUGGGCUUGUGCAGCUACGGCGGCGUCUUUCCUUUCUUUUUUCCCUGAUCAAAAUUAAACAUCUGAGCCUUCUAAGGUUUAUGCUCUGCCAGUGUUUGUGGGCAUUCAAAAACCUUGAAAUUUUAGCUCUCUGAAGAAUGAGGCACCAGAAAGAUGGGAUUUUUUAAAGGGUGGUUGUCCUCUCUGUUUAGCCUGUGAUUUGUUUCGUAUGAAAACCAACAGCCCUUUUACAGCCUCGUUUGGUUGGGAGUAUGGAAUGGGAACUGGAAAGGGAAUGCAUUUAUAUAGGGAAAGUGUCUCUAUCACAACUUCCCAUGCGUUCUUUUUUUGUUUCAUAUGUUAUGACAAUGACAAUGAUGAUGAUGAUGCAUUGAAGGUAGUGUUUAUUUAAAGAAAAUGAAAGGCUGUGAUGAUAUUUCUUGUGAGAGCAAGUGAUAUAGGCAUUGACGGUGGAAUCUGACCCGUAUCUUGGCUGGGCAACCUAGAUGGCAUUUUGGUCGAAAACUCCCUUUCUAACAUGCAACUGGUGAUUUGCAGCCAUGGCGGUGUCAUGGCACCAAUGCCAGGUUAAGUAUGGAUCUGAGCCUUGUUUGUGAUGUCUACCUGUUUAAGCCAUAUUUACUGCUAUACAUCUUUUGGCUUUUCUCGUUUUACUGCUAGCUGUAGUUGGAUAGUUAUUCCAGGACGUCUGAAGUUUGAUUCACAAGUCUGAUGAUUGAUGACUCUGAUUGUCAAAAAAUACUUCACUUUUUCAGCACCGUAACUUGUAAUUAUCUUCCAAUAUUCAAUGGACAAACAUGAUAACUUUUUGAAAGCACGCUUGUUUUGUAUGUGGAGUGCGUUUAGUUAAUUAAUUACGUCUCAUGUGCUAACAUUCAAUUUUUUGAAGUAAUCUUACGUGAAGGAGUUUGCAUUCCUAUGGUUGAUUGUAGCUGCUGCUGUGAUGUUACGCGAUUAGCUUUUACUUGGUUGCUACAUACAUACGAAGUAAGAAUUUUGACCCAAACUUGAUUUGAACCUCUCCAAUGUUGCCUUGAUGUCAAAGUAAAGAUCUGAGCCAUUUGCUUCAAUGUUUUUUUGUAUUUAGGACGAAAAUGUUAAUCACAUAUAAGAUUUUCUUAGAUGUGGUGAUAGCUAUUGCUUCUAGAGCUGCUUAUUUGCUGCGAAGUCUGAAAGUAUCAGCCUUCCUCUCAAAUUUUCUGCUCAAAAAAUGAAUGAGGCAACAGAGAGGGAUUGGGAUUUUUGUAAGGGUGGUUGCCCACUCUCUAUUUUAGCCAAUGAUUUCCUCACCCAAAUAAACCAACAGCCCUUGUUGUAGCAGGAUCAAGCUAAUCCUUUCUCUGUAUCAUUUCAAUUUUUUACAGUAUCCUUCCACUUCAAAAUAAGCUGUGGUGAAAUGUUUCCGAAGCCAGUGUGGUCAGGCAUUGAGGUGCUGACCAGUGGCCCCUAUAUAUUUUUGGCAACCUGGAUGGCAGAAUUGGGGUGGGGGGAUGAGGUUCAUUCUCUUCCCUCUCUCAAAUGCAACCGUUAUUGUAGGAUUAUGCAUUUACUGAUUGUUGAAGCAAGAAAAACUUACCCCAAUUCUCCCUCUACUCCUUAUUUUUCUCCUCUCCUAAACAACACCAAACUAGGCCUUUCUUAAUAUAUGCCAGCAAUAAAAACAAGCCUCAAGAUGGAUAUCAAUGGUCUUCAGGAUAAAGAAGAAUGAGGCAGCAGAGGAUGGGAAUUUGUUAAGGAGGUGGCCCAUCUGGAUGCCAACAAUUUCAUUAUUCACCAUCAGUUAAAGAUGGACGGAACUAACAGCCCUGUUAGAAAAUAAGGGGAUGCCUUAUAAAGCAACAGUGCGUCUUCUCCUGUUCAAAUAAUUGGCUAUGAUGAUGAUGUUUUCUUUAUCUGUGACAUCAAGGUAAAGCUGACCGAUGUCUUGGCAGGGCAACCUGAAUCAUGUGUGAGAUGAGAAGGAUUCGAAAAUGGGUUCUUUCUCACUUGCAUGUAAUUAGGUUUUUGCAGCCAUUGCGGUGUCCUCCUUCCUCUGAUCAAAAGAAUAGAUCUGAGCCAACUUUCUUUACUGUUGCUUAUUUUUGGCUUGCUAGUACUGCCUGCUAUUAUGGAUUCGUUGAAAUUUCAGCUCUAUGAAGAAUGAGGCAUCAAAGAGAUGGGAUUUUUUUUUGAAGGUUGGUUUUCCCUAUCUGUUUACACCUGUGAUUUCUUUCUUGUCAAAUCCCAUAGGCCUUUAGAAUCCUUAUUUGGUUCCUUAACGAGUAAUGGGAAUUGGAAAGUGUCUGUAUAAGAUUUUUUUUUUUUUUGGUAUAUUUGUUGUUUUCUCUGGUGAGGAUAUUAAUAUGUUGACGAUGAUUUUUGGCAUUUUGUUUUUGAAAAAAUAAAAGGCUGUGAUGAUAUUUUGUGAGAACAAGUAAUUCAGGAUUUAUGGAUGUAUGGAACCCGUUUCUUGGCAGCGCAACCUGGAUGGCUUUUUGGGUCGUGAUGAAUUGCUUUUUAUACGCCCUUUAUGACAUGCAACUUGUGAUUUGCUGCCAUGCUUGUCUCACAGCGUCAAUGCCUGGUCAAAUACAUUGUCCGUGUAGUGUCUUGUCUUGAUAUGCAUGCGUAUUCUGCUCUACUUGUAUAUUGCUGGCUGUGUUUGGAUACUUAAUUUCAUUAGAGGUUUUGAGUUCAAUUCUCUGGUUUGAUGACUGAUGAGUUUGAUUGGUAAAAAGAGAACAAUUUUUACCAAUGUAAAUUGGAAUCAUCUUUUUAUAUUUACCAGAAAAACAUCUAUAUGGAACAUUAGUGCUGUUUUAUUUUACUAAUCAGUAGCUGUGAAAAACUUUUGGGAGUGAUUUCAAUUAAUGCCAUUGUGUUUGAUCUAACAUGUCAACACAAAGUUUUUUAAGAUUUUCUUCUCUCAAUGAUUUUGCUAGUUCUUGGUUGGCAGUGGGAGCUGCCAUGUUUUGAUACUAUUUUGUAUUAUUUUGGUGGUACGUGAUAAGUUCUCUAUCUACCCCAGACGGUAUUUCCUUUUAUCUAAUGCCUGAAAUCAAAGUUUUAGGCGGGAUCUUUACGUCUUGUUCAGAGCCUAAAAGCUCAGAAAAUGGUGAUGUCUUCUCUGUAUGAGGAUAUAAUAUGCAUGCACAUAUGGUAAUUCUGUAAAAGGAGCUUGUGAAAGUAGUAAUUCCCUUUCCAUCUAUAGCAUCAGCAGCUACCACUCUAUGUUAAGUUUCAGGUUGCUCUCUCUCAUACCUAUCUAACCCCAACCUCCCAGCCCCCCAAACCCCCCUCCCUUGCACUUCUGUAUUAGCUGUUAUGUAAUUUUAUCUGCUAAAGAGGAUUAAAGGCUGCCUGUUGGAGGUUCGAAUCUUCUCUUUUUUGCAACUUCCGUGUUGGUACACUGCUCAAGAUUCUCGAACCUAGGAUGACCGCCUUUACCGUGCACUUCUAUCCUCAUAACUCUGCUCCACUGGGGGUCAAAGAAGUAGGACUUGUGCAGGAAUUGGCUGGCUACUGAACGAGUGGGAAAGAUCAGAUUUUUUUUUCCCCCUUAAUUGGUCGUGCACGAGCAUUUUCCAUAAACACUUUGCAAACUUUUCGCUCAAGGGAGGAGGUCCAUCGGACCAGACGAGUGGCAUUUUGAAGCAGAGCCACAAGAGUGGCAUUUUGAACCCUUGCCUCCCAUCUCACCAAAGCCUUAAGGGCUUGCUGGUGGUUGUGUUUUUCUUCACUUGAUACUAGGAAAAAUAAAGGAGAGAGAGAUGAUUUUGAUAGUUUUCUUUGGGGGCAAAACUCUCUGUUAGGUUGUGGGUCGAGAGAAGGGGACGGUAUGAAAUGGUUGAACAUUUAAACUCUGAAAAAUGGAAAUUAUGCCUCAAUUCUCUGCAGCAUGGUUCUACGGAUUUAGGUUUAAAGGACAAUAAGCUUUUAGACUGAGUUGAUAGCUUACUAAAAAAAAGUCAGUGAUCCUAACAAUAUAUUUAGUUUCCAGUGUUCAGCUGCUACAAAUCCAAUCGCUGGUUCUUUUUCUUUAUGUCAAGGAUGGAACUUGAGCGCCCUUUAUCACCACAAUUUCAUAUAUUUUUCAAUAAGAUAUAUAUAUUAAAAAAGAGGGAAUUAUCGAGUGGUAUAUGCUGAAAAUUCCAGCUUUCAUAUUCCUCUUCACUCUAGAAAAACCAUUGCUUCAAAUUUAAACUGUUGUUAACACCUAGAUGAAAACACAAUUCCGUUAAUUUUGCAAGCACUAUAACGUAGUAGCAAAAACUGCACUUGGAGUACAUCGUGUUUUUAAAAAAAAAAAAAAAAAAAAAAAAAAAACGAUAGAUGGAUAGGGAGUGUAAACUACGGAAAAUGAUAGUUUAAGGGGCGCUUUGCAACCUGAAGAAAGUUGAGGGUGUAUCUUACAAUUAAACCUGAAAAAAUAAUUUCUGGGUUAAAGCUCUCAAAUGCUUCUUCAUUAGUGCGUCCUUCUUGAAAAUUAUCGGCUCAAAUGAGGCAAACAGGGAGAGAGUGGGAUUUCUGUAAAGGGUGGUUGCCCCCUCUCUGUUUUAAGCCCAUGAUUUCAAACGCAAGCAAACCAACAGCCCUUUGAUUUAGCAGACUGCAGAAAUAAUUCUUGUACUUCCAUUGAGGUUUCUGACAAUUUCACUUUGCACCCCCCUCAUGCUGAACGCUUACUACCUCCUCCUGCUGUGGAUCAUGCUAAAUGGCUGUCCUGUAUUUACCAUGAAAAGAGGCUGUGAUGAUUUUAUUUAUUCGCAGAGCCCAGUUGGGUCAGGCAAUUGAGCAAAAUUGACCCGUAUCUUGGCGGGGCAACCCCGGAUGGCAGAAUUGUUGGUACCAACCCUGACAUGCAACCGGUGCUGCAGCCAUGGCGGUGUCAAAGUCUUUUGCCUGACCUUGAAAUUGGUAAUAUCUGAGCCUCCUCUGGAUUUGUUUGCUGCCUUUUAGACCUUGUUAAACGCUUUGAGUUUGGAUAUUGUAUAGGGUUCGUGUCUUUCUUGGAUUCCCUGUUUUUUUUUUUUUUUUUAAAAAAAAAAGAGUAUGUAAAUGUGGGACGUUGCCCCUCUCUGAAUGCCAAUGAUUUUACCCUUCACCACCUGUUAAAGAUGGAAGAAAAAACCACUGCCUUUACGGACUUUGAGGAAUGGAUCCUGUUCCGCGAAGAGAAACCAUUGGGGAUGUGAUGGUACGGGUUCUUUGAUUGUAGAUUCUUAGCUUAGCUGAGUCGCCUCCCCAGUCCAAGUUUAGAAACGCAGGUCUUUGCUGCAAUGGCGGUAAUUAAUGGUUUUGAGCUGUUUUUAUCUAAGUUCUUGAUUAGAUGAGGGUAAAUCUCUCAUCUUUAGCUUUGCCAUCGUUGAAAUUUCAGCUCUCAGAAGAAUGAGCCUGCAGAGAUAUGGAAUUUCUUAAGGGUGCUUGCUCCUCUCUGUUUGGCCUAUGAUUUCGUUGUUCUAGAACAGCCCUUAAACAGCCUUGUUUUGUUCAGACUACAGUUGUUAGAAUCCCAGUCCGGAUCUCAGGAUCCUACUUUUGGAUUGAGAAAAUUUGAAAUAAAAUAAUUUGUUUUACAAAUUCUGAUCACCUUUUUAUCUUCCCAAUCAUCUUUUUGUCUCACAUACAUUACAUCAUAAAAAGUGCUGCAGUAAUUAUUUCAAUAAAUCAUCCAAAUAAACUCCUAUCCAAACAAACUCGACUAGUCUACAAGACCUAUCCAGGUUGUAGAUAGGUUCACUAUUCUUUUCUAUAAUAAGCUGUGCACAUGCAUGUCUUGGAUAAAUGCUUUUACAUUUCAUGAUGUAAUGAUGGAUUACCAUCCUAACCAUCAAAGUAGUUGAUCCAUCUUUUUAAUUAGCCAAUGCCAAAAGGUAAACUGAUGCAUUAGGUAGUCGAUAAACUUAUGACAAAGCUACAUUGUGAGUUGAAAAUUAUAAGCUCAGGUCAAAGGACUUUGACCUUUUUGAAUUGAUCAUAUAAUUCUUCAUUAACCAUUAGCCUAAAUUGAAUUAAUAACUUAAUUACGUUUUCAUAGGAUUGAGAUCCUUAGGUCCAAUUCUAUGAACUCAAGAACGAUUCUUUCUAGAAUCUGAUUUUAAAACCCUUGGACCCUACCGGGCACUUGAAGUUGGAAAGCUUUAAAGCAGGGAGUAUCUCUGUAUGAAAACCUUUCUUCUGUUGUUUUAGUGUCCUUUAUGAUGAUGAUAGUGGUGGUGGUGGUGAUGAUGAUGAUCAGGUUGAUAUCGUUGCAAUUGGUUCAAAGAAAAGGGAAGGCUGUGAUGAUGUUUCUUGAGAGCUAGUGGAUCAGGCAUUGAUGUUUAUAAGCUGUCCCAUAUCUUGGCGAGGCAACUAGAUGGCACAUUUGGGUCGUGAUGAAUGCUUUCACACCCCCUUUUUGGCUGCAACUGGUAAUAUGCAGCCAUGGCAGUGUCACAACACCAAUGCCAGGUCCAUUUAGAUCUGAGCCUUAUUCUCUGGUCAGUUUCAAAAGUUUGCCUUUGAUGGUUCAAUGAUAUAUAUAUAUAUAUAUAUAUAUAUAUGGUGAGGAUGAUGAUUGUGAUUAUGGUGAUUUAAACGCAAACGGUUUGAUAAAAAAUGAAACACUGGUAUGAUAUAUUGUGAGAUGAACUGAAUCGCUUGUGGAUGGUACAAUCCAGCUUGGAACUUGGCAGGGCAACCUAGACAGCAAAUUCGGGUUGUUAUGAAAUGCUUUUUAUGUUCCCUUUUUAGUUGCAACUGGAUGUUUUCAGCCAUGGUGAUUUCGCGACCUCGCUACUAUAACCAAUCAAUUGCGUCCCCUCUUCUUCAAUGGUGGAAGAGUUGCAACAACAGGGAAAGAGAUUGCUAUGCCUUGAGGUGUGGUUGAAAGUAGUUUUACGAGGUGGCUGAAUUUCGUUCUGUUGGUUUCCCUAAACUCUUUGGCGGCAACUUCUUUGUGCAAUUAUCCUGCACCAGUGGUAUUCUCACGCUAGGAAGCUUAUAUAUGAGGUGCAACAACACUGAAAGAGAUCACCAUCCAAGUUCUGGUGAGGUAUGAUUUGAAGCAGUUGUACGAGGUGUUCGAGUUUUAUUCUGUUGGUCUUCUGAACUCUUUUGCAACUUCUGUGGGCAAUUACCCUAAACGGGCAGUAUUUGCUCAUCAAGAUUUUUGUCAGUGGAAGGUUCAAGUUGUGCUAUACAAUAAAAUCUUUUGGAAAUCAGCAAAGAGCUUUGUGAAUGCUUUGCUUUGCUUUUGUCAGGCCAGAAGGCAUUAUUAUAAACAGAUAGCUCUUGCAUGUCUUGAGCCACUUCUUUAAGGAUGUUUUUGUCAGGUCGGAGCUUUGUCAGAAUUGUAUACGGAAUGAAAACUUUUAGUGGCCUUUUAUGAUUUUCAUAAAUCUAAGGCAGAUUAGUCUCUUUAUGGAUUUCGGAAGCAAAUCAAAAUA